rnacentral:lncRNA from 1 species
UUGUUAGGAAUUAAUUAAUUAGGUUAAUUAACUAUUAAUCACUGCUAUGUCGGUGCCACUUUUGGCAACUGCCUCCUUUUGUAACCGCCUUGUAAGCUGGGUAUAAAUACCCCAAUCUUCAAUCAAUAGAAUAACUGUUCAUUCAUAUAUCUGUUUUCCAUUCGCUCCUCUCUCUCGAUUCUCUCUAACACGUUAUCAGCACUUUUGCUCUCCGCUGAGAAAUGGCCACAGGAGAAGAGAAGAAUGCCGCCGAUUCGAUUAGCCAUAUUCCCGUCCACAGCAGUAAUCAAUGGACAUGCUUCUGUAAAAGAGGAAAACUGGAUCAGGACAUUCUUCAAUUUGUUUUUGUCUUCUUGCAAUCAAUCAAAAAUCUAAUAACAAAUUCUGUUUUGCAAAUCGCUUCAUCCGGCGUAUGCUCGUGGUGAGAUGGAUUGAUCGCUACUCAAACGAAAAUAGGAAGAAAUUCUCAAUCAAGAAGAAUAGAAGAAUCUGCAUCAAGAACAAGAGAAAAGAAGGGAAGAAGCCCCAGCGAGCGUACCUCGGCGUUUGGCGACGACGGCGUCCUCCACCUCUCGGGUGCAGCAUUCGACGCGGCGCUCCUCCCUCAGGCGGAGCACGACCACGGCGCGGCAUACCCUCCAGUACAGGCGGCGUGUCCUCGGGGUAACCAAUGGCCGGCGCCUAGAACGGCGAUCUCCACCGCGGCGGCACCGGUAGCACGACCAGCCCACGACACUACAGCAACGUCGACGCAGCGGCCGAGGACGCAGCGACGCCAGGCAGCGCCCUCUGGCGCGCGGCGUUGGACGAGCAAGCCCUCUGGCGCCACCCGCCCACCCCCGGUCUCUCCUUCUCCCGGUUACACUGGUACGCAGCGGCGGUGCCGGUGCUAUAUGUGCAUACCGAACAAAUCGAUUGAUUCCAGAUGCAUUGAGGAUGACGAUAGGAAAC